GACCUGGUGGCGAGACGUAUCGCGCCCGCAGUGUGUAAUCUGUUCAGCUGAACAUCUUGCGGGAGCCCCUGGUUCGAAUCCAGGCCAGGUCA